rfam:Acinetobacter qingfengensis strain ANC 4671 Contig33, whole genome shotgun sequence.
CUCUGCGGUGGAACGGGAGGGGGACGCCUUCGUGCGUGCUGGGUACUUGUGUGACCAGUCUGUCAACCCUCUUUCGUUCUGCCACCAUA